rnacentral:rRNA from 1 species
UGAAUUCAUCUCCGGGGGUAGAGCACUGUUUCGGCUAGGGGGGCAUCCCGGCUUACCAACCCGAUGCAAACUGCGAAUACCGGAGAAUGUUAUCACGGGAGACACACGGCGGGUGCUAACGUCCGUCGUGAAGAGGGAAACAACCCAGACCGCCAGCUAAGGUCCCAAAGUCAUGGUUAAGUGGGAAACGAUGUGGGAAGGCCCAGACAGCCAGGAUGUUGGCUUAGAAGCAGCCAUCAUUUAAAGAAAGCGUAAUAGCUCACUGGUCGAGUCGGCCUGCGCGGAAGAUGUAACGGGGCUAAACCAUGCACCGAAGCUGCGGCAGCGAACGUAUCACCCAAGACAACUUUACGGAGUUGACGAUUGACGGAGCGAAGCGACGUCAAAGCGUUCAUUAAAGUCGAGUUGGCUUAGGGAUACGUUCGUUGGGUAGGGGAGCGUUCUGUAAGCCUGUGAAGGUGUGUCGUGAGGCAUGCUGGAGGUAUCAGAAGUGCGAAUGCUGACAUAAGUAACGAUAAAGCGGGUGAAAAGCCCGCUCGCCGGAAGACCAAGGGUUCCUGUCCAACGUUAAUCGGGGCAGGGUGAGUCGACCCCUAAGGCGAGGCCGAAAGGCGUAGUCGAUGGGAAACGGGUUAAUAUUCCCGUACUUGGUGUUACUGCGAAGGGGGGACGGAGAAGGCUAUGUUGGCCGGGCGACGGUUGUCCCGGUUUAAGCGUGUAGGUGUGUGUUCCAGGUAAAUCCGGUUCACUUUAACACUGAGGCGUGACGACGAGGCACUACGGUGCUGAAGCAACAAAUGCCCUGCUUCCAGGAAAA